rnacentral:rRNA from 1 species
CGGGUGCACUGAUCCAGCCGGGCCUUUCCCUCUGUGGAACCCCAUGGCCUUCACUGGCUGUGGUGGGGAAACAGGACUUUUACUUUGAAAAAAUUAGAGUGCUCCAGGCAGGGCCUAUGCUCGAAUACAUUAGCAUGGAAUAUAGAUAGGACGUGUGGUUCUAUUUUGUUGGUUUCUAGGACGCGUAAUGAUUAUAGGGACAGUCGGGGGCAUCAGUAUUCAAAUGUCAGAGGUGAAAUUCUUGGAUCUAUUGAAGACUAACUACUGCGAAAGCAUUUGCCAAGGAUGUUUUCAUUGAUAAGGAACGAAAGUUAGGGGAUCGAAGACGAUCAGAUACCGUCGUAGUCUUAACUAUAAACUAUGCCGACUAGGGAUCGGACGAUGUUAUUCUUUGACGCGUUCGGCACCUUUCGAGAAAUCAAAGUGCUUGGGCUCCAGGGGGAGUAUGGUCGCAAGGCUGAAACUUAAAGAAAUUGACGGAAGGGCACCACCAGGGGUGGAACCUGCGGCUUAAUUUGACUCAACACGGGGAAACUCACCAGGUCCAGACACAGUGAGGAUUGACAGAUUGAGAGCUCUUUCUUGAUUCUGUGGGUGGUGGUGCAUGGCCGUUCUUAGUUGGUGGAGUGAUUUGUCUGCUUAAUUGCGAUAACGAACGAGACCUUAACCUGCUAAAUAGCCCGUACUGCUUUGGCAGUUCGCCGGCUUCUUAGAGGGACUAUCGG